rnacentral:rRNA from 1 species
UCUAUCAUCUCUAGCCCAGAUUACACAUGCAAGUCUCCGCUCCCCCGUGAGGAUGCCCUGCAGUUCCCCUACCCGGGAACAAGGAGCUGGUAUCAGGCACAGCCUAAUAAAGCUACCGCCCACGACACCUUGCUUAGCCACACCCCCAAGGGAUUUCAGCAGUGAUUAACCUUAAGCCAUAAGUGAAAACUUGACUUAGCCACGGCUAAUAGGGCCGGUAAAUCUCGUGCCAGCCACCGCGGUUAUACGAAAGACCCAAGCUGAUAGAUGCCGGCGUAAAGAGUGGUUAAGUAUCUUGAUAGAACUAAAGCCGAACGCCCUCAAGACCGUUAUACGUUUCCGAAGGUAUGAAGCCCAACUACGAAAGUAACUUUAACUAUAUCCGACUCCACGAAAGCUGUGAAACAAACUGGGAUUAGAUACCCCACUAUGCCCAGCCCUAAACUUUGAUAAUUCAUUACACCCAUUAUCCGCCUGGGAACUACGAGCUUCAGCUUAAAACCCAAAGGACUUGGCGGUGCUUAAGAUCCAC